rnacentral:tRNA from 1 species
GUGGGGUUGUGGCUCAGUGUUAGAGCGCUUGCCUAACACACAUGAGGCCCUGGGUUUGAUCCCCAGCACCACA